AGGAUUAUAGUUUUAUAACAUUUGUAUUGCAAACAAAAAAUAUUAAUAUUAAUUUAUUAUUUAAUCUUA
rnacentral:tRNA from 1 species